AUAAUGUCUUUAUUAGAUUGGGCUGAUGUUCUUUGGGGAGGAAGAUCACAGAGGUGAUGUGCCAUUGUUAUAUCAUAUCAAGGGUAUGUGCCAUGGAAAUGCCCUAUUCCUAAUGAUGUUAAUAUUCAUAACCUGGUUAAAAUAGUGGUUGCUUGGUUUCUCUACUAUAAAAUUAUCUCCUACACCCACACCACACAUACAGCUUUCAAAACUCUUUAGAAGCAAGUCACUAAGCAUAGGCAAUAUUUAGAGAUAGUUGAAUACUUGUAGGGAGUAGGAUGUACAUAAAUUACUGGAAAUUUUUCUGUAUACCAGAUAUGCCUAAUCUACCCCAUUUAAUUAUUUAUUAAAUCAUUUAUUUAUAUUGGUGACUUAUGACUACUUAAGUUAUACUUUGGCUUAUAAUCUAAAACUACAUAAUUUGUAAUUUUGUUCAAAUCAUUAAAACUCUGACAUUUUAGAGGUCUUCUAGGUUGGGUCCUGUGUGCCUUUUUCAUAAUACUUUCAUUUUUGAAGUAGUUAGGCUAGCUCUCAGCAUGACUUUUCAUUGUUUACUUUUUCUUGGGGUUAAUUGAGUUUCUUGGGUUUGUGAGUUAUUAGUUUCCUAGAGACACUGUAACAAAUUGUCAGAAUUUGGGUGGUUUAAAACAACAUAAAUUUAUUAUCUCACAGUGACAGGGCAAAGAAAUUUAAACUCAGGGUGUCAGCAUGACCAACUCCCCCCUGAAAGGCCUAGGGAAGUGUCCCUCCUUGCUUUGUCUAGGUUCAGGUGGUUGCCUUGAGUCACUCCAGUUUCUCCCUCUGCUUUCAUAUGGCCUUCAUACCUGAAUAUAUGUCCAAUUUUUUCUAUCUUUAUAAAAACACAGGUAAUUGAAUUAGAUAGCCUAAUCCAGAAUGAUCUCAUCUUGAUUAACUACAUUACAAAUUUUCUGUUUGUAAGUAAGGUCACAAUCAGGAUUAAGAUGGACUCAACUUUGGUGCAUGUGUUGAGAGGAGGAUAGCAAAUUAUUCAAGUCAUUGGAGUUAGUAUUAUAGCUUUCAUUAAACUUGGAAAAUGUUUUGCCAAAUGUUUUUCUUCUAGUAUUUUUUUCUUCA
rnacentral:lncRNA from 1 species